UACGUAGGUGACAAGCGUUAUCCGGAAUUACUGGGCGUAAAGCGCACGCAGGCGGCUGAGUAAGUCUGACGUGAAAUCUCCCGGCUUAACCGGGAGCGGUCGUUGGAAACUACUUGGCUCGAGGCGAUGAGAGGGGUGUGGAAUUCCCGGUGUAGUGGUGGAAUGCGCAGAUAUCAGGAAGAACACCGAUGGCGAAAGCAGCUCUCUGGGACGGUACUGACGCUGAGGCGCGAAAGCGUGGGGAGCGAACAGG
rnacentral:rRNA from 1 species